rnacentral:rRNA from 1 species
GCGGCUUAAUUUGACUCAACGCGGGGUAAUUUACCAGGUAUAACAUGAUAUAAUAUUUUAUCAUGAUAGUGGUGCAUGGCCGUUUUCAAUGGAUGCUGUGAAGUAAUGAUUAAUUUCAACAAGAUGUGAGACCCUCAUUUAGACAGAUGUAGUGAUACAUAUGAAGGAGAGGAUUAAAACAGGUCCGUUAUGCCCUAAGAUAAUCUGGGUUGCACGCGCAAUACAAUAAUAUUUGAUAUUAUAAGGGAUAAUAUAAUGUAAGAUAUAUUUGAACAUGGAAUUGCUAGUAAAUUUUAUUUAAUAAGUAGAAUUGAAUGAGUCCCUGUUCUUUGUACACACCGCCCGUCGCUAUCUAAGAUGGUAUUAUCUAUGAACAAAUUUAUAAAGUGAAUAGAUAGUACUAGAUCUGAUAUAAGUCGUAACAUGGUUGCUGUUGGAGAACCAUUAGCAGGAUCAUAA